AAAUAAUGAAGAUAAUAACCAAUAAAAACUGAGGGAACUCAGAGACCGGUGCCGGUGCAGGACCUUGGUAUGCUGAGCACCGGUCCCCUGGGCCCACUGUUGUUUUCUCACGUUUUCUCACCUUUCCAAACGUGUCCAUGCCUAGAAGCUGGAGACCCCAUCCACACUGCAGUACCAGGGAUUCUUCCUGGGCAGUGUAUAGCAGGUAACCAUUUGUGUCCUGGAUGUCUGUCCACCCAAGAGGCCAUGACUUUGCAAAGGCAAGGCAAGGGCAGUGCUGGAUCUCCGGCUCUGCUUCCUCCUCAUCAUCCAAGGAGAGGUCCUGCCUGCCCUGGCUCCCUGGACAUGGGCUUCCAAUGGGCUAUCACAGCUAUUUCCAGGGUAGCAAAAUUCCUGGACUAGAUGUGGGGUGACUGCUGCUGAACAGAGGUGGGCCCCAGGGUGAAGGACCUUGCUCAGCCUCCCCUCAGUUUGGUCUACCAGGCCCUUGUCAAGCACUCUGCUGGAGUCUGGGGGUACUGAUCUUUGGAAAUGUCAGUCCUGGAGGCUGAGCUGUUCCCCAGAGCCCUAGAGACCCCUCACCAACUACUUUAUUGAGGGACAAGGCAGUAGGCAGGAGUGCUGGGAAAUCUGGUUUGCUUGGUAUGCCUUCUUGCACACCCACCUCUCCCUGCACCUGGUUCUAUUUGUAUCUGAGCUUCUCGAACUGCAAUAAUGAUGCAGCCUAGCUGGCUUCUGGAAGCUGGGAGCUGUUGUCAGGCACUCUUCAGUGUGUUCUCUACUUCCAGUAGGAAUGUUGGCAAAUCCUGCAGGGCCUACAGCCUCAUCCAGUUUGCAAGUGCUCUAUGGACAAACCCAGAUCCCCAUGCCCCGCCACUCCUCCCAAGGAGAUGUGUGAGUGUCCCCAAGAUCUGAACUGCACCAGAGGAGGAAUUCCUGGACCCAGCUAGUGCUUCCAGGAGGUGGGCUGGGUGAUACCUAAGUGACAGAGGGAAGUAAUAUGUGGCCCUACCCCCUCCCUAAAGUCUAGCAUUUGAAAUGUGUUAAAAGUGUGAUCUCUGACAAAUUAAUUUCUUUUCACUUCUAUUUUGUUAUCUGUAAUAUGAGGAUAAUAAUAGCAUUUUAUUCAUAAGGUAGUUAUAAAGAUUAAAUGUCAUUUCACUCCUACUAGGAUGGCUGUAAUUUAAAAAAAAGAAAAAUAACAAAUGUUGGUGAGGAUGUAGAGAAAUUAGAACCUUGGUGCAUUGCUGGCUGAAAAGUAAAAUGGUGCAUGGCUACCAAGAACAGUUUGGCAGUUAUUUAAAAAGUUAACCAUAAAGUUACCAUGUGAGGCAGCAAU
rnacentral:lncRNA from 10 species